UGGGGAAUUUUGGACAAUGGGCGAAAGCCUGAUCCAGCAAUGCCGCGUGUGUGAAGAAGGCCUUCGGGUUGUAAAGCACUUUUGUCCGGAAAGAAAUCCUUGGCUCUAAUACAGUCGGGGGAUGACGGUACCGGAAGAAUAAGCACCGGCUAACUACGUGCCAGCAGCCGCGGUAAUACNUAGGGUGCAAGCGUUAAUCGGAAUUACUGGGCGUAAAGCGUGCGCAGGCGGUUUGCUAAGACCGAUGUGAAAUCCCCGGGCUCAACCUGGGAACUGCAUUGGUGACUGGCAGGCUAGAGUAUGGCAGAGGGGGUAGAAUUCCACGUNUAGCAGUGAAAUGCGUAGAGAUGUGGAGGAAUACCGAUGGCGAAGGCAGCCCCCUGGGCAAUACUGACGCUCAUGCACGAAAGCGUGGGGAGCAAAACAGGAUUAGAUACCCUGGUAGUCCACGCCCUAAAACGAUGUCAACUAGUUGUUGGGGAUUCAUUUCCUUAGUAACGUAGCUAACGCGUGAAGUUGACCGCCU
rnacentral:rRNA from 1 species